GACGAACGCUGGCGGCGUGCCUAAUACAUGCAAGUAGAACGCUGAAGAGAGGAGCUUACUCUUCUUGGAUGAGUUGCGAACGGGUGAGUAACGCGUAGGUAACCUGCCUUGUAGCGGGGGAUAACUAUUGGAAACGAUAGCUAAUACCGCAUAACAAUGGAUGACACAUGUCAUUUAUUUGAAAGGGGCAAUUGCUCCACUACAAGAUGGACCUGCGUUGUAUUAGCUAGUAGGUGAGGUAAUGGCUCACCUAGGCGACGAUACAUAGCCGACCUGAGAGGGUGAUCGGCCACACUGGGACUGAGACACGGCCCAGACUCCUACGGGAGGCAGCAGUAGGGAAUCUUCGGCAAUGGGGGCAACCCUGACCGAGCAACGCCGCGGGAGUGAAGAAGGUUUUCGGAUCGUAAAGCUCUGUUGUAAGUCAAGAACGGGUGUGAGAGUGGAAAGUUCACACUGUGACGGUAGCUUACCAGAAAGGGACGGCUAACUACGCG
rnacentral:rRNA from 1 species